rnacentral:lncRNA from 1 species
CUGUGUGGGAACCGAGCCGCCCAGCUCUGCUCUGCCACACAGCUCCGUGCCCACUGCCACUGCAGCGGUGCAGAGGAGCAGCACUGCUUCACUUCUGCCUUUGAAACCACAGCAAGCACGAUGCAAACCAAACCACGGGUACCGAAGAUGUCCAAAGAGGCAGGCUGACUCUCCUGCCCUCGAAGACAGGUUUGGCUCCACGAGCAGAAGUGUCAUGCCACAUUAUCAUCUUGCCGGCUCACACACUCCUGCCUGACAAGUUCUCUCUGCCCCUUGUGACAACCAUUCCAGGCUUAUGCUGUUUAUUUUUGGUGUCAGGCUGGCCCUGGCAGAUUGAAAGGCAACCUCAACCCCUUGAACAACAAGCACCACACCCCACUUGGCGAUAAGAGAUGAUUUGAGAAGAUAUUUGCUUACAUGUGUAUAAGCAAUUUGCUGUAUGAUGAAGCCCCGGUGUGCCUGUGUGAACGCACACGUAUGUGUGCAAAGGGGAAGGAACUGCAGAAGCGUAACAUUUCAUGAGAAAACAAACAAUUCAUUGCGGAUCCCAGGUAGCAGGCUUCAAUCAUCACAUCCCAUCGUACACACAGAACGUGAAACGUGGGCCACAAAGGCACCACGGGUGCUCCCCACAAAGAGAAACAACAGCUAAGCUCGGUCUGUCCCUGCAAAACAGCCUCGCUGUGUCCCUGCAGAGCGCUGUGAGAUGCAGCGGCAGAGGCACCCCAUAGGAGGAAUGGGGACAAAACACGACAGUUCACUGCAGAAACACGCUAGGGCCAGAUUCAUCUCUGCUGUCAUGGAGUCAAUUUGGAACAGCACUGUUGUCAUUGAAUUACUUGGGACUGCCUGCAAUUGGAAUCACAGAACCUUGUCUUCAAGUAGCAGGCUGCGUGCAUCAUGGAGACUUCCUUUUAACUAUCCAAUUUUUACAGCCUGUACAUAAGCAGGACUAUGUCUACAGCUAGGGUUUCUUGGUGUAAGCAC